rnacentral:rRNA from 1 species
UGAGGAAUAUUGGUCAAUGGGCGAGAGCCUGAACCAGCCAAGUCGCGUGAGGGAAGACGGUCCUAUGGAUUGUAAACCUCUUUUGCCGGGGAGCAAAGAGCGGCACGUGUGUCGCGCCGAGAGUACCCGGAGAAAAAGCAUCGGCUAACUCCGUGCC